GAAGAGCCAUGGGCAUAGGGAGGAGGGGUUAUCAGUGACUGACAGCUCUCUCCAUGUACACUUAUACACACUGUGCUAUCAAUCACUGAUAACCACUCCUUCCUGUACCGAUGCUGUUCACAGAAGGUUUUACAGAAUCUUUCCCCACAAAUAUAUACAUCAAUCUGCUCAGC